rnacentral:rRNA from 1 species
GAUGAACGCUAGCGGCAGGCCUAACACAUGCAAGUCGAGGGGUAACAGGGGAGCUUGCUCCCGCUGACGACCGGCGCACGGGUGCGGAACGCGUAUGGAACCUACCUCAAUCAGGGGGAUAGCCCAGGGAAACUUGGAUUAAUACCCCAUAGUAUUAUUUGAUUGCAUGAUUGAAUAAUUAAAGGUUACGGAUUGAGAUGGCCAUGCGUAUCAUUAGCUAGUUGGUAAGGUAACGGCUUACCAAGGCAACGAUGAUUAGGGGCCCUGAGAGGGGGAUCCCCCACACUGGUACUGAGACACGGACCAGACUCCUACGGGAGGCAGCAGUGAGGAAUAUUGGACAAUGGUCGCAAGACUGAUCCAGCCAUGCCGCGUGCAGGAUGACUGCCCUAUGGGUUGUAAACUGCUUUUGUACGAGAAGAACACCCUCUUCGUGAAGAGGACUGACGGUAUCGUACGAAUAAGGACCGGCUAACUCCG